GGAAGAGCUGAGAGUGCAGAGGGCACAGUGUUUCUGCAUUGUUCCUCUAUGCGGACCUUGUUGACCCAAAAGGACAUGCAGAAUAAAUAGCUUUUCUACAGAAGAUGAUGGGAUACAUUAGUCAAGCUUUAGGGGGAAGCAGACAACGGACUGUUACAUCAAUGCAAUGGUUUAAUUUCUACUUUUAUUCAAACUCAGAAUUAAACUGAGAUUCCAACUAAGAAAAAAGUUGACAAUAUCACAAAUUCAUCAAAAUAACACCUUACAUUACAUUUGACAGUUUAGUCACUUAGCAGACAUUCUCAUCCAGAGCGACUUACAGUUGGAGCAUUCAUCUUAAAAUAGCAAGGUGAGACAACCACACAUCACAGUCAUAAUCAGAUUAAAUGAAAUUUGCUUCGCCAGGGAUGGAUGCAAGCACUGACCUGUGGAGAACUCAGCCAAUGAAUCUGUCUGUGCACCCCCCGGGUUCUGUCACUGAGAACAAGCCUCCUCUACAUGGGGGUUGAGAGGCCAGAGAAACUGAUGCUUAACACUUACCUGACAAGUACUGUAAGCUGAUUCCUUGUCACGUUCUGACCUUUAUUUCCUUUGUUUUUUAUCGUUAUUUAGUAUGGUCAGGGCGUGAGUUGGGGUGGGCAGUCUAUGUUUGUUUUUCUAUGAUUUUGGGGAUUUCUAUGUUUCGGCCUAGUAUGGUUCUCAAUCAGAGGCAGGUGUCAUUAGUUGUCUCUGAUUGAGAAUCAUACUUAGGUAGCCUGGGUUUCACUGUUUGUUUGUGGGUGAUUGUCUAUGUUAGUUGCUUGUGUCAGCACAGGUCUCAUUAUAGCUUCACAUUCGUUUAUUGUUUUGUAUAGUUUGUAUUCAGUGUUCAGUGCU
ensembl:lncRNA